GUGCCAGCAGCCGCGGUAAUACAGAGGUGGCAAGCGUUGCUCGGUAUCACUGGGCUUAAAGGGCGCGUAGGCGGUGCGGUGCGGUUCCGGUGAAAUCCCUCGGCCUAACCGAGGAACAGCCGGUGCUACGGCCGCGCUAGACGGCAUCAGGGGACAGUGGAACUCCCGGUGGAGCGGUGAAAUGCGUAGAUAUCGGGAGGAACGCCGGUGGCGAAAGCGACUGUCUGGGGUGCCUGUGACGCUGAGGCGCGAAAGCUAGGGGAUCAAACGGGAUUAGAAACCCUCGUAGUCC
rnacentral:rRNA from 1 species